rnacentral:rRNA from 1 species
AUUGAACGCUGGCGGCAUGCUUUACACAUGCAAGUCGAACGGUAACAGGGUGCUUGCACCGCUGACGAGUGGCGAACGGGUGAGUAAUGCGUCGGAACGUGCCGAGUAGUGGGGGAUAGCGCAUCGAAAGGUGUGCUAAUACCGCAUACGUACUGAGGUAGAAAGUGGGGGACCUUCGGGCCUCACGCUAUUCGAGCGGCCGACGUCUGAUUAGCUAGUUGGUGAGGUAAAGGCUCACCAAGGCGAGGAUCAGUAGCGGGUCUGAGAGGAUGAUCCGCCACACCGGGACUGGGCCACGGCCCAGACUCCUACGGGAGGCAGCAGUGGGGAAUUUUGGACAAUGGGCGCAAGCCUGAUCCAGCCAUGCCGUGUGUCUGAAGAAGGCCUUCGGGUUGUAAGGGACUUUUGUCCGGGAGCAAAUACCCAGUGCUAAUAACGCUGGGGGCUGAGAGUACCGGAAGAAUAAGCACCGGCUAACUACGUGCCAGCCGCCGCCGUAA